AUACGUAGGGUGCGAGCGUUGUCCGGAAUUACUGGGCGUAAAGAGCUCGUAGGUGGUUUGUCGCGUCGUCUGUGAAAUUCCGGGGCUUAACUCCGGGCGUGCAGGCGAUACGGGCAUAACUUGAGUACUGUAGGGGAGACUGGAAUUCCUGGUGUAACGGUGAAAUGCGCAGAUAUCAGGAGGAACACCGGUGGCGAAGGCGGGUCUCUGGGCAGUAACUGACGCUGAGGAGCGAAAGCAUGGGUAGCGAACAGGAUUAGAUACCCUGGUAGUCCAUGCCGUAACCGGUGGGCGCUAGGUGUAGGGGUCUUCCACGACUUCUGUGCCGUAGCUAACGCAUUAAGCGCCCCGCCUGGGGAGUACGGCCGCAAGGCUAAAACUCAAAGGAAUUGACGGG
rnacentral:rRNA from 1 species